AAAAUAAUGACUUUGGGCGGGUGCUAAUGGGCCGGUGGGUUGACGGGUUAUAGAUACGGUUUGAAUCGGAUUGAGAUGGGCGGGCCCGGGUAGCAAAAACCAAACCGUGGGUACCCUCACCCGCCCAAGGAAGAGAGUUAUGUAAAACUAAGUCGUUUUGCGCUACUAGGUUUACUCUCAAUCUGUUUCACUCUCAGUCGUAGCAAGCAAAUGAAACAAAAACGAAUCCCUAGCUCUCCUUUCCCUGUCACGUAAGAAAACACCACCAUCAACCACCAUCAACCACCACCACUCUUCUUUUGGCAUUCAUUCUACUAUUUAUGUUUGGGUUCUCAUUUUUGUUGUUCUUGUCUAUAGAUGGAGCGUCAACAAAAUAGUAGCCAAAGAUCCACAGAGCCUGGGACCAAACCAGUUUUAUUUCCUUCAUGUUGUUAUGUUCUUCAUUGUGUUGUGUAUGUGAAGUUGGUGUUUAUUGUUGUGCUGGUGGUUGGAGUGUUGAGUGGAAAUGGGGAGUUGUGGGUUUUAUUGAUGGCGGUGUUGGUGGGAACAAAACAAUUGGCUUUUUGUGUUUUUGGGUUUUGAAGGUGAUAAUGGGGAUGUUUGGUUUGAAAAAGUUUGAUUUUUAAAUUUGGGUUUUUGGGUUUUGAAGGUGAUAAUGGAGGUGAAGGUGGUCAAGAAAUUCAGGUUCCAGUAUUCAAAGAGUAUGGUCUGAUUGAACUCAGAAGAUCCACACACGAGUUCAGCACGACUUAAUGCUCCACGAUUUCUGCUAAGAGUUUGAGGUUACUUGACUUGAUAAUUUUGGAGGGUAUAUCAGAAUUGAAGUACUUGCAGACAGUGCUUACUAUGUUGCUCAUGAGGUACUAUGACGGAGUUAUGACAAGGAAAUAGUCAUUUGGAGUGGAGGCAUCAUAUUUUAUAUUUUCUUUAGUGGUGUAUCACCUUUCUGGGCUGGUAAGAUCAACUUGUAUUUUCAAAAUGUGAUACUAUAUUUAUAGUUUUUGGUUGAGAUUCUGAUUUAAAAAUUAACACAUAUAUGUGUGGUUAAUUUUCUUAACUGGAUUGGAAAGGGAAUAUUUAAUGUCAUAUUGGAAGGAGAACUUGACUUUGUUAGACAAUCAAUAUUCAGACAGUGCAAAAGAUCUAGUCAGGAAGAUACUGAUUUAUGAUGUAGUCAUUUAGAUUUAAGUUGAAUUUUGACGUAUGUUGAGUUUAUGUUGAAUUUAAAUUGUAGUUCAAAAUGUGUUAUUGGGCUCAACAAAAAAUCAACCCAAUAACCCGAUUAAACCGCUUGUCGUAACCCGCGGCCCAUCAUAACCCAACCCGACCAAACCGAUUAAGAAAAUGGGCGGAAAUGGGUUUAUAUUCUUCAACCGCGGGUUCGGUUGGGUGAGGUUUUUGGGCCCGAAACCGCCCAACCCGGCCCGUUGUCCAACCGUAACUUACGCCCAAUAACAACCUCGCGUUUUAUUUUUAUUUACUGUAGAAAAUAAAAACUACCCACUCCUUCAUAUAAUACUCUCUCGAUUCCAUGACGAGUGGUCUAUUUAGAAUAAAAUGAUGUUUUAAAAUAAAUGAGUCAUUUCAAUUUUUAAUGCACUUUUUUCAAUUUUAUUUUCAUAAACCAUUUAUAAUAGAGGUGUUGAAAAAAUUAUUCAAAAGUGAUGUGGAUUAAUAUGUGUGUGCCCAUGUAUAUUACUUUGCAAAAUUUUAUUGGUUGUUGUGAUUGUUUAAAAUGGUGGGAUUGGAUGUUGAAUUUUAUUAAACAAAAUCAUUGUAGUGAGUAAAACUUAAAUGAGUGUUGAAUUAUUAUGUAGAAGAAAGAGAAGAUGAUGUGGAAAAUAAAAAGUGAAAAAAAGAGGGUGUUGAAUAUGCAAAGUUGCAAACCAUUGUACAUAGCUUAAUUACUCAAAAUUUCACAAUUCUCAAUACACGAUACGGGUAUUAUAGUAAAAACUUUAUUCUCUUACUUUUAUACACUUUUUAAAUCUGUAUUAAAUGGUGGGCUGAGUCACUAAUUGUGGA